CGAGAUUGGUGGCGUGAUAUUCUUUCAAACUUUCCGAAAUAUUCUAUCAGAAAAAAAAUGUGCUACAAAGAAAACAGCACAACAAAUAGAAAAAAACCUACUAAACUACUGCGAAAAGCACCCUAUAAUUAAUUCAUUGUCAAAGGGUACAAUUCACGGUACACUUGUUUUAAGAAAAUGACAAUAUUUAAAUGUGUGCUGAACAAAGUGUUCCACUUGGUAUGUACCACAUGCAUUUAUUUCACGGACCAAGAACUAAUUCCAUCGGCGGAACUGAAUAUAUAUUUGCAUCUUAGUUUCAUUGAGUUCGAGUACUUCCAGCGGCAGUUGAUUUUGAAAGUCAAAUUAGUGGUGGUUUGAUCAUUUAGCCAUUUUUGUUAAAAGAAUGGCAGUAUUGAUAACUGCAUUUCUACUUGUAGUGAUGCCAGUAACAUUAAGCAAGGCAAAUAAGUCUACGAAUUUUCUUAAAUCCCAAAAUUUUAUUUUUGAAGCAGGUAAAAUAACAACAGCAUUUCUCCGAAAUUGUUUGAGACAAGAGGACACAGUCAAGGUGCCUUGUGGUCAAAACUGUGGCCAAAGUUUAUUGAAUUGCUUGUACGGAAAGGGCUUUGCACUUUUGGAUCGUCUGUUAGAGAAAGAUGAGGUUGAACUAAUGGACGGACUAGAAUUAGUUCGAUACAAAUCUGAUAAUCAGUCUGAUCAAGAAUGGCAUUCACGUUCAAUAAACAAGUCUCACGACCAGGAAAACGUUUUUACAUCCGGUGUUCAGUAUGAGAUCUACCAGCGAUUGGACAAAUUGUUUUCAACUCAUUUUCUCAAGAUUUAUAAACCAAAACAACUUGAUUUCGUCGAAGGUGAAGGUAAUUAAAGAAUUACUAAACCAGUUAAUAAACUAAUGGCUAUGUUCGUUAUAAGCGGAAUCCACGAAAUGUCGGUUUUAAAAUUUCAGUGUCGAAAGUACAAUAAUGAUUUUGAAUAAGGGCUCUAUCAGGUAACUAAUACUAUGAUUAUUUAGGCAGUGAUUAUAUAAAACAGAAGUCAAUAUACUUUUGUCGGUAGGCCGAAAGGUUUUGGAAUUGUUGUAAUAUUUAUAUUCCAUCUCAUAACUACAUUUGUAUGUUAACUAUUUUCCAGAAAUACGCAGGGGUGUUUGGACCCCAGGGCAGAAUGAAAUUGAGAUUUCUAAGCACAUCCAUUUCUUUUACAUUUCCAUACAUAUGUAUGUAUGUAUAUAUCUAUCCUACAAUUGAAAUUUUAUUUUGUGUGAUGUAGGAAAACCUUUCCGUUCUUUUGUUGUUUUUAUGAAAACUUGAGGCAAUACUUUAACCAAUUCCUCCGAGCAAAAUUCAGAUUGGACGGAUUAGUUUAAGAGUUUUUAUGAUAGGAAAACCAAAAUAUUUAUUUAAAAUUACUCUAUAUUUAUAUAACCAAUUUCUGACUAUUGUUUUCAAUUGAAUAAGACAACCAAAAAUAGAAAUAAA